rnacentral:ncRNA from 1 species
UCUUAUCGAGAGUGGCGGAGGGAAAGGCCCGAUGAAGCCCAGCAACCGAUUUGAGUCUGAAUAGACGGGUUCUCCCGCUGUGCAGCCGCAAAUGCCAUGGUGCUAAAUCCUUCAAAACCUUAAUGCAGGUUUUGGCAGAUGAGA